AACGAACGCUGGCGGCGUGCCUAACACAUGCAAGUCGCACGAGAAAUCGUAGCAAUACGACGUAAAGUGGCGCACGGGUGAGUAAUACAUAGGUAAUCUCCCUUUUCGAGGGGCACAACCUGCCGAAAGGUGGGCUAAUUCCCCGUAAGUUCCAGAAGACAUAAAGUCUUUUGGAAGAAAGCAGGCCUCUAUUUAUAAGCUUGCGCGGAAAGAUGAGCCUGUGUCCCAUCAGCUAGUUGGUGAGGUAAUGGCUCACCAAGGCUAUGACGGGUAGCUGGUCUGAGAGGACGAUCAGCCACACUGGAACUGAAACACGGUCCAGACUCCUACGGGAGGCAGCAGUGGGGAAUAUUGGACAAUGGGGGAAACCCUGAUCCAGCCAUGCCGCGUGAGUGAAGAAGGCC
rnacentral:rRNA from 1 species